rnacentral:rRNA from 1 species
CGACGGUGAGUAACACGUAUCCAACCUGCCGUCUACUCUUGGACAGCCUUCUGAAAGGAAGAUUAAUACAAGAUGGCAUCAUGAGUCCGCAUGUUCACAUGAUUAAAGGUAUUCCGGUAGACGAUGGGGAUGCGUUCCAUUAGAUAGUAGGUGGGGUAACGGCCCACCUAGUCUUCGAUGGAUAGGGGUUCUGAGAGGAAGGUCCCCCACAUUGGAACUGAGACACGGUCCAA